rnacentral:misc_RNA from 1 species
GGAAUCUUCCGCAAUGGACGAAAGUCUGACGGAGCAACGCCGCGUGAGUGAUGAAGGUUUUCGGAUCGUAAAGCUCUGUUGUUAGGGAAGAACAAGUACCGUUCGAAUAGGGCGGUACCUUGACGGUACCUAACCAGAAAGCCACGGCUAACUACGUGCCAGCAGCCGCGGUAAUACGUAGGUGGCAAGCGUUGUCCGGAAUUAUUGGGCGUAAAGGGCCCGCAGGCGGUUUCUUAAGUCUGAUGUGAAAGCCCCCGGCUCAACCGGGGAGGGUCAUUGGAAACUGGGAAACUUGAGUGCAGAAGAGGAGAGUGGAAUUCCACGUGUAGCGGUGAAAUGCGUAGAGAUGUGGAGGAACACCAGUGGCGAAGGCGACUCUCUGGUCUGUAACUGACGCUGAGGAGCGAAAGCGUGGGGAGCGAACAGGA